ensembl:lncRNA
CUUCGGCAAUGGAGGCUUUGAACAUCGACCACUCCGGUUCAAUGCCCCCAACCUCCACAGGGAUGCCAGAAAAGCUCAGCCGGAGGUGUGAGUUGAAGAUCUUUUAGACGGGGGCCUCCUCCAGACGUUCCCAGUUUACCCCCACUACCCGUUUGGGUUUUCUACCAGAGUCUUCCCCCGCCCCCUGACCCAACUCACCACCAGAUCUUGAUUGGUUGACAGCUCUGCCCCUCUCUUUACCCGAGUGUCCAAAACAUGCGGUCUCAGAUCCGAUGACACCAUCACAAAAUCAAUCAUCGACCUUCGGCCUAGGGUGCUCUGGUAUCACGUACACUUAUGAGCAUCUUUAUGUUCCAACAUGGUGUUCGUUAUAGAUAAUCCAUGACUAGCACAGAACUCUAACAACAAACGACCACUCAAGUUCAGAUCAGGGAGGCCGUUCCUCCCUAUCACGCCUUUCCAGGUGUCUCCAUCAUUGCCCACAUGUGCGUUGAAGUCCCCUAGCAGAAAUAUUGAGUCCCCUACUCCAGGCUUCACCCCAGCUAAGGAAAUGGCCCUUGAUUUAAACCAAGGAAGGCCUGUAAUGGAAGGGAUUCAGGGUGGGACAGCUACAGGCUCUGUUCCACCUGCAGAAACUGCCCUCUUCAUACAAGUGUCCGGCGACACAGUCACUCUCCUGCCACCAGACAAUGAUCCAGGGAAGGGGCUUCUGCAGCAUGGGAAGGGGCUGCUGCAGCUGAUGAUGAGACUGUCACUGGACUCCAGAAGGCCUGAGGAUCCAGACGCAGUACAGUCUGACAGCCAGCCUGGCAACAUAGUAAGUAUAGGCUAAUGGAAAUCUAAAUUAUGCAAUAAUUCCUGCUGUGCUAAUCAAUGGGUGGUUUACAGAAUUCACAAAUUGUAUGAUGUCUAUAUUGUCACAGGUGUUGUCGAGGUGCGUGUGUCGAAAUAAGGAGCCAAACGCAGGGAGGUAGUUUCACUAUCUGUUUCUUAUCUUAUUUGAAAAAUGGCACGCGUAAAGAACAAGAGCACACAGGCGCAAACAAUAGUAACACCAAACAUAGAAUAAUACCACACAAAGACAGCUGGAAACACAGGAACUUAUAUAUGCGAUCUAAUGAGGGAAUGGACACCAGGUGCGUGCAAUAACAAGACAGGACAGUGCCAUGGGAGGAGGAGAGGCGUGGCUAGAAGGCCGGCGCUGACGUGCGCCGAACACCACGUCGGGAGGGGUGGCGCGCGUCCUCCACGCAUGUCCUCGUUACAUAUAUACACGACAUCUGAAAAAGCAAAUAGAGCUGGCAGGUGCACAGAUUGCUGUAAGCAAAAGGACUCCCUAGGAUCUGGACCUUGGUAUAGAAAUCAAAAAGAAAACACUGAGGAAACUGGAUCUGGAGAUACAGAAACUAGAAAAAGAAGUUAGUGACUUCAAUCCACACUAUAAGCAUAUCUGUAAAACAAUGUAUUAAUCAUGUUUUUCUUUCUCUCUCCCAAGCUCCAAACUGACAAGUGACAGC